AUGGUGCAAUUUGGAGUCAGGGAGAUACCAGAAAAGUAUGUUAAGAAGAGGUGGACAAAGAAAGCUAGAGAAUCCAUUCCAGAACAUCUCAAAGGGUACGUCAAUGAUAAUGAAGCUGCUGCAUCGAGGACGUAUCGACACGAUCUGAUGUAUCAGACCGCGCUUGAUAUGGUUCGGAUUGGGGACACAAACACUGAGACAUAUCAGAAGACAAUGGAAGUGAUGUGCAAUCACCUGAAAGAUUUGAAAUUAAUGACAGCCACGGCAGAAUCAAGCACGAAGGAAACUCGACAAAGUGAAAGAUUACAAGGGAAGAAACCUAUUGGUAAUGUGUUUGGCGAUCAUGAUGCCCAACUGUGCAAUGACAAUUGCAUAGAUGAGUGUGAGGCUACAGAAGGCGGUGACGAUGAUUGGGGAGGUGAGGAAGUACAAGAUGAGGAGAUGGAAGAUGGUGUUCGUGAAUGUGAUAUACUUCCUCCUGAAUUUAGAAGGGGAAGAGGAAGACCUAGGAUGCGAAGGUAUAUGUCCAAGGGAGAAAUUGCUUCAAGACAGGGUAAGAAAGGAGCAUGCUCAUCAGUAAGGAUCCAAUUUGAAGAUGGAAGUAGCUCUAGGGUUACUAGGCCAAUGCAGGUCAGGUACUGCGGUAGCUGUGGUCAGCAAGGACACAAUAAGAGUACGUGUGGUCGCAAUUCAAGUUAUAAGAGAAAGUACUGA
rnacentral:rRNA from 1 species